GACGAACGCUGGCGGCGUGCUUAACACAUGCAAGUCGAGCGGUAAGGCCCUUUCGGGGGUACACGAGCGGCGAACGGGUGAGUAACACGUGGGUGACCUGCCCUCAGCUCUGGGAUAAGCCUGGGAAACUGGGUCUAAUACUGGAUAUGACUCCACGGUGCAUGUCGUGGGGUGGAAAGCCUUGUGCGGCUGAGGAUGGGCCCGCGGCCUAUCAGCUUGUUGGUGGGGUGANGGCCUACCAAGGCGACGACGGGUAGCCGGCCUGAGAGGGCGACCGGCCACACUGGGACUGAGACACGGCCCAGACUCCUACGGGAGGCAGCAGUGGGGAAUCUUGCGUAAUGGGCGAAAGCCUGACGCAGCGACGCCGCGUGA
rnacentral:rRNA from 1 species